rnacentral:rRNA from 1 species
UGGGGAAUAUUGCGCAAUGGACGAAAGUCUGACGCAGCGACGCCGCGUGGAGGAUGAAGGCCUUCGGGUUGUAAACUUCUGUUAGAUGGGAAGAAAUGUGUAGUUAUAAUACAGCUACAAGAUGACGGUACUAUCAAAGAAAGCACCGGCUAACUUCGUGCCAGCAGCCGCGGUAAUACGAAGGGUGCGAGCGUUAUUCGGAGUAAUUGGGCGUAAAGGGUGCGUAGGCGGUGUAUUAAGUCAACUGUUAAAUACCUUGGCCUAACCAAGGAAAGGCGGUUGAUACUGGUAUGCUUGAGGAUGGGAGAGAGAAGUGGAAUUCUCGGAGUAGCGGUAAAAUGCGUAGAUCUCGAGAGGAACACCAAUGGCGAAGGCAGCUUCUUGGUCCAUUCCUGACGCUGAGGCACGAAAGCGUGGGGAGCAAACAGG